AUGCUCUCUUUUGAAGAAGUCAUAACUGAAAAUGUGGUUGGAACUCAGGACUGCUCUUGCAGUUCAACAUCAGCUGCAGGCCCUUCCCUGGAACACUCCGGAAGUCUGAGGAACCUGCAGGCACCUGUGGUUGCUGGAGCUGUCUUCUCCAGAGGCAGCAGGCAGUUCUCUGUGGAGGGACCCAGAUGGUCUGCAUUCAAGAAUGUUGGCAUCUGUUGAGUCAAAGGAGCCAGGAGGUGGAGACUGAGAAGAUUUAGAAGCUCUGAUGAAGUGGAUGGAGAAUGGAACCAACUGAGGUUAUGUAGAAUUGGCUCCUGAGGGCCAGAUAACAUCAGGAAUCACGUGCUGGUGAUGGAGGAGCCAGAUAGGAUGGUAAUUUCCCAUGAAAUCUGAGUGGGAGAAGAUCAGGAGAAGGAAACACUAAAGAUAGAGACAGAAGGCAGAAACUUGAUGGAGCCAGGUCAUGGAGUAGGCAGGAGAUGGGAGCAAAGGUAAAAUACAGUAAGUAGAAAGAUGGGGCCCAGUGUGGGGGUGGAGAGAGUUCUUGGGGAACUGGGUGCAUAUUAUUUUCGCUGAAUAGGAGAGAGGAAGAAUUUUCAGGAAAUCAUUUCUCUCUGGGGGUUAAUGUAUUGG
rnacentral:lncRNA from 1 species